AGCUGGCUUCCUUUUAUACUCUACCUGAUUCAGCUCAUAAGCAGGUGAUUGGGCUGCUUUUACCAGUUUGCACCACAUCCUGUGACAGAAACAACCAGGAUAAGGUAGGACGGCCAGUCCCCCUCUGUCUCUUCGCCUUCCACAAACAGUCACUUAAAUAGUAACCCAACUGUCAAACCUGAUAAACCUAAUAAAG